rnacentral:rRNA from 1 species
AGAACGAACGCUGGCGGCAUGCCUAACACAUGCAAGUCGAACGAGACCUUCGGGUCUAGUGGCGCACGGGUGCGUAACGCGUGGGAAUCUGCCCUUGGGUUCGGAAUAACAGUUGGAAACGACUGCUAAUACCGGAUGAUGACGUAAGUCCAAAGAUUUAUCGCCCAGGGAUGAGCCCGCGUAGGAUUAGCUAGUUGGUGAGGUAAAGGCUCACCAAGGCGACGAUCCUUAGCUGGUCUGAGAGGGAUGAUCAGCCGCACGUGGGACUGAGACACCGGCCCAGACUCCGUACGGGAGCAGCAGGUGGGGAAUA